AUGGCGGCCGCGCCUGCAGCCGCGGCACUCCGACCCCACCUUUCCCUUCUCUCGGCUGGCGGCGGAAUCCCCAACCCCACGCUCCAAACUCUAUCCUUCGUUGCCCCCCUCCUCCUCCGCCGCCGCUGCCGCCGCUGCCGCCGCCGCAGCAGCGUCGUUCUCUCCAACGCCUCCUCGUCGCCCCCGUCCCCCCCUCCUUCGCCGGAGAAGGAGGUCGAGGCGGCUCCGACGGCGGAGUCGUGCGUCAACCUCGGCCUCGAGUUCUUCUCCAAGGGCAGAGUGAGGGAUGCACUUGAACAAUUUGACAAUGCCCUAGAGCUGAAUCCAAAUCCUACCGAAGCCCAAGCAGCGUUCUAUAACAAGGCAUGCUGCCAUGCGUACAGGGAAGAAAGCAAAAAAGCUGCAGAGUGCUUGAGAAUAGCUUUGCGAGAUUACAAUCUCAAAUUUGGUACAGUACUUAAUGAUCCAGACAUGGCGCCAUUCAGGGCAUCGCCAGAAUUUAAGGAACUUCAAGAAGAGGCAUUGCGUGGUGGAGAAGAUAUUGGUUCUGGGUUCCGAAGAGAUCUAAAGCUCAUUAGUGAAGUACAGGCACCAUUUCGUGGUGUCCGGAGGUUCUUUUAUGUGGCGUUCAUUGCAGCAGCUGGAAUUUCAACAUUCUUCACCAUUCCCAGACUUAUAUUUGCACUUCAAGGUGGUGAUGGUGCUCCAGAUUUUCUGGAAACGGCUGGCAAUGCUGCCAUUAAUAUUGGAGGUAUUGUCGUGCUCGUGGCUUUGUUUUUCUGGGAAAACAAGAAAGAAGAAGAGCAGAUUACAAAUAUCUCUCGUAAUGAAACCCUUUCAAGGUUACCUGUGCGUCUGUCAACCAAUCGCAUAACUGAACUUGUGCAACUCCGGGACAUUUCUAGGCCAGUUAUAUUGGCAGGUUCAAAGGCAUCUGUUACUCAAGCAAUGCAAAGAGCUGAGAGGUACCGAACUGAUCUGCUCAAACGAGGCGUUCUUCUAAUUCCUGUGAUCUUUGGUGCUUCACUAAAAGUCCAAGGCAAACCAAAAGGCUUCGGUACUACAAGAUCUGCUGCAUCAGCUCCUUCAAUUGGGGGUGACUUUGAAAAACGUACUGAAUCUAUUGCGGCAAAAUCACGACUCAGAGCUGAGGUUCGAUUUAAAGCUGAUAUUGUCUCUCCAGAACAAUGGGAAAGUUGGAUACGUGACCAGCAAGAAUCUGAAGGUGUCACUCCUGGUGAAGAUGUCUACAUAAUUCUCCGUCUUGAUGGUCGUGUGAGAAGAUCUGGAAGAGGCAUGCCAAACUGGAACGACAUUUUGAAGGAAUUGCCACGUCUUGAAGAUUUGCUCAGCAAACUUGAACGAUGA
rnacentral:rRNA from 1 species